rnacentral:rRNA from 1 species
AACGAACGCUGGCGGCAGGCUUAACACAUGCAAGUCGAACGCCCCGCAAGGGGAGUGGCAGACGGGUGAGUAACGCGUGGGAACCUACCCUUCGGUACGGAAUAACUCGGGGAAACUCGUGCUAAUACCGUAUAUUCCGGUAACGGGAAAGAUUUAUCGCCGAAGGACGGGCCCGCGUCAGAUUAGCUAGUUGGUGGGGUAACGGCCUACCAAGGCUACGAUCUGUAGCUGGUCUGAGAGGAUGAUCAGCCACACUGGGACUGAGACACG